rnacentral:rRNA from 1 species
AUUGAACGCUGGCGGCGUGGAUAAGACAUGCAAGUCGAGCGGAAAGGCCCUUCGGGGUACUCGAGCGGCGAACGGGUGAGUAACACGUGAGUAACCUGCCUUCAGCUUUGGGAUAACCCUCGGAAACGGGGGCUAAUACCGGAUAUGACUUCUGCCCGCAUGGGGUGGUGGUGGAAAAGUUUUUCGGUCUGGGAUGGGCUCGCGGCCUAUCAGCUUGUUGGUGGGGUGAUGGCCUACCGAAAGGCGACGACGGGUAGCCGGCCUGAGAGGGCGACCGGCCACACUGGGACUGAGACACGGCCAGACUCUACGGGAGGCAGCAGUGGGAAUAUUGCACAAUGGGCGGAAGCCUGAUGCAGCGACGCCGCGUGA